GGGACCAUGCUAUAUAUAGAGGUCCCACUUUACAUCUAAUGCUCGUGUAUUGAUUCGAGACCUUUCCAGUAUUACAUUUUAGGAGAAUUAUUAACUAAUCAAUCCUAGUAUGCAAUUUAUGAAAAAGAAUAUGGAAUUAAUUUAAACGACAUAUAACUCGCCACAAUUUUGUUAUUUUAAGGGGUUAUGCACUUGUCAAUUGUAGUGGGGAUGGCCAGACCAUGAUGUGGGGCGGGGAUAGAGCCAGAUUCGCUAUGGAGCUGACUGUGACUUGGCGUACCAUCUCAAGUAACUGAAAUAAUUGAUUAUGGUUAAAUUUCCCCUUGGGCCAGGACUACAAUUGACAAGUGCAUUAUACAGAAGCGACCUUUGUUUUCCCACCUAUGAUAUAUGCAAGUAUCCUAAAUUGUGUUUGAAGCAUUUUAUAGACCUUAGUAAUUCUGGUUAACAAUCGUAUUUGUUGGAAAGCUUUAAAUUUAACCCUUAUUUAUCAGCUGCUGUGUAAGUUCAAUGUUCUGUAUAAAGCACUUCAAAUUUAGUGCACUGAAUUUAUAAAGAUAUAUGAUCUCACAAAUGUGGGCUGGAUUAUGAAUUUUAAAACUGUAUUCAGAAUACUUGAUGUGCUUCUGAAAACAUGGCUUUUUGAUGUGUACACUAAAUGGGUUUCUCUCUUUUAUUUUCUUCUCCUGUCAGCACACGUAGGGUUAGAUAAGAGAAAUCUUUGAAAUGAACAUGCUUCCUCAUGUUUAGCACCGUUGUAUGAUAUGUAGUAGUGACAAUAAUGUAUAAAAUACAAAUCUAACAAUGACGUUGUGAAAUGUGGUUGAUGAUGAUAUCCAUUUGUGCUUUGUGAAUGAGAAAAAGAAUAAUUCAAACACUGGUCUGUCUGUUUUUAUUCACGUAUAUUUAAACAAAAAAAACAGGGAUAUACACAUUGUCAUAGGAUCUGCAAGUGUGUUGGUAUUCACAGAUCUUUUUGGUUUAUAGUAGUUGUAGCUAGUUUUGGAUUAAUAAAAGGAUACAAUUUUUUCUAAUUACUUUGAAAAUCAAUCUACACUUGGUAGAACAGGCGCCAAUGUGAUGUUUAUUAAAUGUAAUCUUUCAUAUGGGGUUUGUAUUUUGUAAAUACCAACACUUGCUGAAAUCCUAGCAUGUUUAUCAGAUAAAUAUGAAUGAUAACCGUUCGUAGCUGACUUU